CAGUCUGUGGGAGGAAGCUUAAGGGAGAAGACUGGCUUCCUAGAGGGCUGUAGAAACCAGCCCUGUGAACAAGGCUGCCAGGACUUGCAGGUCCAAGGCCCAGAGAAGAGGGUGAAGGAGCCAGAGGCAGGAGCUGAAGGUGCUGGGGCUGUGGGGAAGUGGCCCAGGGAAUUGAGAUAGACUGGUGGUGAGAGAAAGGACAGCAGUGGCAAGCUGUUGUUUACAGGGUCCAUGGGCUGGGCCCCUUUCCCUCCCCCCCACUUGCUGCUGAAGAAGCAGCCAGGCUAUGGACUUCCAAGCUGCUGUGAGGAGUGGCUAGACUGUUGUGGAGGAGUUCUCUGGAAGGGGGGAACCUGGAUAGUGACAUGGCUGAAGGGCAGUGCCAUGAAGCAGAGCAGUGAGACUGGAACUGCAGGCAGAGACAAGGAUGGGAGAGCCACUGCCACCAGAAGGCAUACCUGCUGACCAGAGCUAAUUGCUGAAACCAACAGCAGAAGGUGCCAGUGUGAUCUCUGCCUGUGAAUCAGGAGGAGGUGGCAGCUACGUGCUAACUUUCCUAUGCCAGCAAAGCAUUACCAUUUUGAGAGAGCUUCCAAUACACUAUAUUUUUUUCAACAAACUGUUAAAUUAUCUGUACUGUCUCGUUGUUACAAACCACAAAGAAAUGAAUAUAAUUCUCUUUGACUCUUAUUAAAAACUGAAGAAGGAUGAUGAUUUAUAAGUACUUGUACUAUAGCCCAACACACCACUUAUGUAGUUGCACUGUACAUGUUUCAUUCUUGUUUUGAUUAGAAUGUGACUAGGCACUGCUCAGAUUGUAAUACUUAGAGCAAUAAAUUGGGCUAGUGUUGACAUCUUGGAAAAAUAAAUCUGAUUGCUUUUUCUUGA